CGCGCCGGGGCGAAGGCGGCUCCCGCGUCUGGGCUGGGCAGUGCCGGCCGGCGGGCCAGCGGCCGGGCGGGAGAGAGGACAGCGGGGCUCCUCGUGGCCUCGGACGUCUCUGCAGGCCGCCUGGGUGUUUCUUCGCCCCUGGACUCACGUCUCCACCUGCGCCUGACCCGGGCCCAUGCUGAUCUGAUCCACUGGCUGGUCAGUGCAAACACCAUAGGAAUAUCAUUUUGGAUAGCAGCUGGAAAUCAGCCUUUCCAUUCUCCUCACCCUCCUGAAGUAUCAGCUGUCCAAACUCCUAUGACAACCUACUUUCUGGGAGGAAAGGACCACAUACCUGUCUAAUUUGGUUCCCCCAGCUCUAAAGUACACAUGACAACCUUGGGGACCACGUGGAGAAGGUGACAGAUCCACAAGGUAUAAGGAUCCUUUCUGACUCACCAAUUGACGGCCAGCUGCUUGCUAGUCAGGAACGCCUGCUCUGAACAAGAAGAGAAAUUUUUAUUAUGUUAAAGAAAAUACCGGGGCCGGUUCCAUGGCUGAGUGGUUAAGUUCGCGCGCUCGGCUGCAGCGGCCCAGGGUUUGGAUCCUGGGCACGGACAUGGCACCGCUCGU